GGAAUCACUACAACAGACCCAUCCUCUGCAAACCUCCUCGCAGACAAAGGUAUCCCAUCAUGUCCACACGCACCACCGUUCCACAGCCCAAGGACAAGCAAUUCCCAGGGAACAGCAGUCUGGAAAAGGCCCUGGAAACCAUUGUGAAUGUCUACCACCAGUACAGCAUCCGUAGGGCUCAUCUGGACCUCCUCAACUUCAAUGAGUUCCAGACGCUGCUGAAGGAGCAGGCACCCAACUUCUUGAGCGUCUGCGGCAGGAACCGUCCUGACUACCUGAAGAUGCUCUUUGAGGAGACGGAUAUGAACAAGGACAAGGAAGUGUCGUUCAAGGAGUUCACCAUCGUGCUGGCCAAGGUGACCGACGACGCGCACCGCAUCAUCCAUCAAGAGGACAGAUGUAAGCCAGACAGCAACUGAGCCACCCCACACCAUGGAGCUGGGCCCCAGGGAAGGAUCCGGAGGGGUCUGCAUGUAGGAAUGGGGUUCUGGCUGAGUCCUGCCCACUUGGGUCACCCAUAAGAUAAUAAAGCAUUACC
rnacentral:lncRNA from 7 species